rnacentral:lncRNA from 1 species
AUGAUUCCAGAGGGCACUGUGACCUAGCCAGCCACAGGGGGAAGAACCCCAGGUCCUGAGCGUGCUCUUUGAGGAGAAGGUUCUGACAGAGUAGGAAGUGGGCUGUGGGGUCACGUUGUUCCCACUUCACCACAGUGAAAGCCUGCCAGGAAACACAUCCCGGAAAUGAGAUCUACUCUAGAAAAUACAAGGAAGGUGAGACAGAUAGAAUCAAGGAACUAAAGGUACUGGGAAGGUAACAAACCAGGCAGACACCUGUCCUCCAUGAUCUCAUAUGGACGUGGGAGCUGAUCACUGCAUAUGUGUAGACACAAAGGGAACAAGGACUGCCGCGCCUACCUGAGGGCAGAAGAUGGAGCAUGAGGAUUAAAAACUACCCAUGGGGUAUUGUGCUUAUUCCUUAUUAGAGACAAAGUAAUCUGUACGUCAAACCCCCACAACACGCAAUUUACCCGUGUAAAAAACCUGCACUUGUACCCCUUGAGCCGAAAAUAAAAGUUGUAAAGAAAAAA